rnacentral:lncRNA from 1 species
CUUACUUAUAAUAUUGCGGAGAACAAACCACAGCAAAGGGCAGUGGGUGUGACAAGCAUUGUGAGCGAUAUGUUUAGAGCGGGGGUGUGAUAGGGAUGGCGAAGAUGCACAGGGAAGUGAUGAGGUCCAUAGACGGAGCAUAGGGGAAGUGCUGUGGCUAGGGGAGAGCCUCUGUUAUAGAUCUAGUGUCAUAGAUCUGUCAGCAGCUCCCCAGUUUCUCUCCACUACCGUUUAUUGAAUGGUUACUAUGGGCUAAGUGUUUGUACUAUUUUGUUUAAUUCUUGAGAUGACCCUAAGUGUCAGAUAAAGCAUAAUUAUUAAGCUCAUUUGACAGAUGAGGAAAUUGAAACUUAGGUCACUUGUCCGAGGUCAUGAAGACAGCUGGUAAGUGAUGGAGCGAGAACUUGAAUCCCGGGCUUUACUGAUUCUAGAGCCCAUGGUUUUAACUAUCAUCCCAGAUCACCUGGGAAGCUCUCUCUUAUCUUUUAUUUUAUAGGCACUUGAUUUAUGUCACCCAUCUGGAAUGGGAUGGAGUGAGAAAAGGGGGUUUGGGAACUAUUGUCUCCUCAAGAUUACUCAGCUCUUUGAUAUCUCGCCUGGGAGCCACAUUGACUGUCAGCUAGAAGCUUUGCUGGGAUACCUACCCUUGAAGAACGGAUCACCUAAUAGGGGUACAGAACACAGCUGCCGAAGCAGGAAUUUAUCUUGGCACCUGCUGAUGGACGCGUGCACACAAGGAUCCAGAGAUUGAGUGAAGGAAGAUGCCUGGGACCAAGGAAAGCAGAAAUGGCGGGGCAUGCAUUACCUGUGGCAAUGGCGGAGUCUGGAGGGAAAGGCUGAUUUUGCUGGGGUCUGCAUCCAUGACCAUCCGCCCCUGCCUUGGAGCGAAGGCUGCAGAAGUGAAACCUUUGUCAUCAGCACUCUUCAGACCAUCAGAUGCAACUUUCCGCUUCCUUCUCACAGUCCAGACCCAAGCAAAUGACCUCAGGGAAUAGCAGCAAUAAUUUGCAUAAAGGCUGAUUGUCACAUCUUCUUUGAGUAGUUUGGGAAGGGGGCAGGAACUACCGUGGUUGAGCCCUACUGUGUGCUGAGUGCAAUGCUAGGCUCCCAGGUACCCCAUUUCCUUUUAUCCUCUAGGCAGCCCUACGAGUGGGAUACUAUUGUUCCCAUUUGGUAGAUGAGGGGACUGAGGCUCUGAAUGCCCAUGUGAGUUGCUCAACAUCAGCACAAUCGGGAAGUGACAGACCCAUAGACUGAAAGCCACAUCAGCCCGGCUCCAUAUCCUGUGCUCGCUUGUGACGUCACUGUCCCUUCCCGGCACUCCAGGUUGGAGUGGUUUGGAACACAGCUACUGAAAUCUUCCCCAUUAGGAAUUCAGAAAUGACAUCGUCCAACGCCUUCAUUUUAUAGGUCGAAUGAGUUAGCAACGUGAAUGUAUGUCUAAACUCUGGGUAGUUGUGCCGUGAGCGUUGGCUUCCUGUCGUCACAGCUUAGAAACCAGAGGUUUAGGGAGAUGCCCAGGUCGCUUGCCUGAGGUUACGGAGCAGGUUAGCAGCAAACCUAUACUCUAAGGCUGUCUCGGGCUUCUGAUCUUUCCAGACACCCCCUCCCCCCACCUCCCCAGCCACGUAAGGCUUCGAGUCAAGGGCUGUUGUGUCAAUGACGAAGAGAAAGAGGAAGAGCUGUCAGGCCUACAGGGGCCUUGAUGCUUACUUAGUUCUGGAGGAAAUUGAGAAAGUCUCGAAGUCCCCUGUCCCCUACAUCCUUGUCCCCUGCCCCUCCUCCCCCUAGAUAGGGAGGGAUGGGGGUGCAAGGGAAAACCUCUCUGGAUGGCUUGUAUUCAGAUUUGCAGCCAAGCAGUAUUUAUUCAGCCCUAUUCGUGCCAAGCACCCAAUCCCCACCCUUCAGGCCCUGGCAGGUUAGUGAGGGACCAAGAAGCAACCAGACACUGAGAGUUCCGUGCUACCACUGGGGUCAGCAUCAGGUGCUGCGGGG